rnacentral:rRNA from 1 species
CAGCAGCAGCCGCGGGAAUACCGAGGGUGCGAGCGUUAAUCGGAUUUACUGGGCGUAAAGCGUGCGUAGGCGGCUUCUUAAGUCGGAUGUGAAAUCCCUGAGCUUAACUUAGGAAUUGCAUUCGAUACUGGGAAGCUAGAGUAUGGGAGAGGAUGGUAGAAUUCCAGGUGUAGCGGUGAAAUGCGUAGAGAUCUGGAGGAAUACCGAUGGCGAAGGCAGCCAUCUGGCCUAAUACUGACGCUGAGGUACGAAAGCAUGGGGAGCAAACAGGAUUAGAUACCCCAGUAGUCCCUGUCUCUUAUAC